rnacentral:rRNA from 1 species
AGUGUAUAUUAAUACUGUUGCAGUUAAAACGCUCGUAGUUGAACUUAGGAUUGUUACAGAUUGUUUCACUUGAUUGUGGAAUGUCUGCUCAAUUCUUAUCUACUGGAUACUCUAUUCUGUACUUAAUUGUAUGGAGUAUCGCCUAGCCAGCGGAGUUAUGGUUAAUUAGCUCCUGUCAUUGUAUCAAGGUGUAAAAGCCUGAAGUAUGAUUAUGGGGUCAAGUUAAUUGAUCAUAAUGGGGUGCCAGUUAAUUUACUUUGAGUAAAUUAGAGUGUUCAAAGCAGCCUCUUGGGGCUUUGAAUAGUUUAGCAUGGGAUAAUGAAAUAGGAUUGGAUUCCUAUUUGUUGGUUUAAUGAAUCCAAUAAUGAUUAAGAGGGACAGUUGGGGGCACUCAUAUUAAGUGGUUAGCGGUGAAAUGUGUUGACCCACUUAAGAUGAACUAAAGCGAAAGCAUUUGCCAAGGAUGUUUUCAUUAAUCAAGAACGAAAGUUAAGGGAUCGAAGACGAUUAGAUACCGUCGUAGUCUUAACUAUAAACUAUGCCGACCAGGGAUAUGAGUAGUUUAUUUCUGUUCACCUUGUGUGGACAGAUACUUCUCCUUAUGCACCUUGUGAGAAAUCAUAAGUUUUUGGGUUCUGGGGGAAGUAUGGUCGCAAGGCUGAAACUUAAAGGAAUUGACGGAGGGGCACCACCAGGAGUGGAGCGUGCGGCUUAAUUCGACUCAAC